GACGAACGCUGGCGGCGUGCUUAACACAUGCAAGUCGAACGGAAAGGCCCUGCUUUUGUGGGGUGCUCGAGUGGCGAACGGGUGAGUAACACGUGAGUAACCUGCCCUUGACUUUGGGAUAACUUCAGGAAACUGGGGCUAAUACCGGAUAGGAGCUCCUGCUGCAUGGUGGGGGUUGGAAAGUUUCGGCGGUUGGGGAUGGACUCGCGGCUUAUCAGCUUGUUGGUGGGGUAGUGGCUUACCAAGGCUUUGACGGGUAGCCGGCCUGAGAGGGUGACCGGCCACAUUGGGCCUGAGAUACGGCCCAGACUCCUACGGGAGGCAGCAGUGGGGAAUAUUGCACAAUGGGCGGAAGCCUGAUGCAGCAACGCCGCGUGCGUGAUGACGGCCUUCGGGUUGUAAACCGCUUUCGCCUGUGACGAAGCGUGAGUGACGGUAAUGGGUAAAGAAGCACCGGCUAACUACGUG
rnacentral:rRNA from 1 species